AAGUUGGGCACUCUAAGUUGACUGCCGGUGACAAACCGGAGGAAGGUGGGGAUGACGUCAAAUCAUCAUGCCCCUUAUGAUUUGGGCUACACACGUGCUACAAUGGACAAUACAAAGGGUAGCGAAAUCGCGAGGUCAAGCAAAUCCCAUAAAGUUGUUCUCAGUUCGGAUUGUAGUCUGCAACUCGACUAUAUGAAGCUGGAAUCGCUAGUAAUCGUAGAUCAGCAUGCUACGGUGAAUACGUUCCCGGGUCUU
rnacentral:rRNA from 1 species